GAUGAACGCUAGCGGGAGGCCUAACACAUGCAAGCCGAGCGGUAUUUGUUCUUCGGAACAGAGAGAGCGGCGCACGGGUGCGGAACACGUGUGCAACCUGCCUUUAUCUGGGGGAUAGCCUUUCGAAAGGAAGAUUAAUACCCCAUAAUAUAUUGAGUGGCAUCACUUGAUAUUGAAAACUCCGGUGGAUAGAGAUGGGCACGCGCAAGAUUAGAUAGUUGGUGAGGUAACGGCUCACCAAGUCAAUGAUCUUUAGGGGGCCUGAGAGGGUGAUCCCCCACACUGGUACUGAGACACGGACCAGACUCCUACGGGAGGCAGCAGUGAGGAAUAUUGGACAAUGGGUUAGCGCCUGAUCCAGCCAUCCCGCGUGAAGGACGACGGCCCUAUGGGUUGUAAACUUCUUUUGUAUAGGGAUAAACCUACUCUCGUGAGAGCAGCUGAAGGUACUAUACGAAUAAGCACCGGCUAACUCCGUG
rnacentral:rRNA from 1 species